rnacentral:rRNA from 1 species
UACGUAGGGUGCGAGCGUUAAUCGGAAUUACUGGGCGUAAAGCGUGCGCAGGCGGUUCGUCAAGUCUUGUGUGAAAGCCCCGGGCUCAACCUGGGAAUGGCAUGGGAAACUGGCGAGCUGGAGUGCGGCAGAGGGGGGUGGAAUCCGCGUGUAGCAGUGAAAUGCGUAGAGAUGCGGAGGAACACCGAUGGCGAAGGCAGCCCCCUGGGUCGACACUGACGCUCAGGCACGAAAGCGUGGGGAGCAAACAGG